rnacentral:rRNA from 1 species
CCUACGGGUGGCUGCAGUGAGGAAUAUUGGUCAAUGGACGAGAGUCUGAACCAGCCAAGUAGCGUGAAGGAUGACUGCCCUAUGGGUUGUAAACUUCUUUUAUAUGGGAAUAAAACGUUCCACGUGUGGGAUUUUGUAUGUACCAUAUGAAUAAGGAUCGGCUAACUCCGUGCCAGCAGCCGCGGUACUACGGAGGAUCCGAGCGUUAUCCGGAUUUAUUGGGUUUAAAGGGAGCGUAGGUGGAUUGUUAAGUCAGUUGUGAAAGUUUGCGGCUCAACCGGAAAAUUGCAGUGGAAACUGGCAGUCUUGAGUACAGUAGAGGUGGGCGGAAGUCGUGGUGUAGCGGUGAAAUGCUUAGAUAUCACGAAGAACUCCGAUUGCGAAGGCAGUUCACUGGACUGCAACUGACACUGAGGCUCGAAAGUGUGGGUAUCAAACAGGAUUAGAUACCCCUGUAGUC